CCUACGGGAGGCUGCAGUGGGGAAUAUUGGACAAUGGGGGGAACCCUGAUCCAGCCAUGCCGCGUGUGUGAAGAAGGCCCUCGGGUUGUAAAGCACUUUCAGUGAGGAAGAACGCCUGGUGGUUAAUACCCAUCAGGAAAGACAUCACUCACAGAAGAAGCACCGGCUAACUCCGUGCCAGCAGCCGCGGUAAUACGGAGGGUGCGAGCGUUAAUCGGAAUUACUGGGCGUAAAGCGCGCGUAGGUGGCUUGAUAAGCCGGUUGUGAAAGCCCCGGGCUCAACCUGGGAACGGCAUCCGGAACUGUCAAGCUAGAGUGCAGGAGAGGAAGGUAGAAUUCCCGGUGUAGCGGUGAAAUGCGUAGAGAUCGGGAGGAAUACCAGUGGCGAAGGCGGCCUUCUGGACUGACACUGACACUGAGGUGUGAAAGCGUGGGUAGCAAACAGGAUUAGAUACCCGAGUAGUC
rnacentral:rRNA from 1 species